rnacentral:rRNA from 1 species
AGAGUUUGAUCAUGGCUCAGGAUGAACGCUGGCGGCGUGCCUAACACAUGCAAGUCGAACGAGAAGCUGACUUCUGAUUCCUUCGGGAUGAUGAGGUUAGCAGAAAGUGGCGAACGGGUGAGUAACGCGUGGGUAAUCUACCCUGCAAGUGGGGGAUAACCCUCCGAAAGGAGGGCUAAUACCGCAUAAUAUCUUCACUCCCAAAAGAAGAGAAGAUUAAAGAUGGCCUCUAUACUAUGCUAUCGCUUCAGGAUGAGCCUGCGUCCUAUUAGUUAGUUGGUGGGGUAAUGGCCUACCAAGACCACAAUGGGUAGCCGGUCUGAGAGGAUGUACGGCCACACUGGGACUGAGAUACGGCCCAGACUCCUACGGGAGGCAGC